UACGAAGGGGGCUAGCGUUGCUCGGAUUUACUGGGCGUAAAGGGCGCGUAGGCGGACAGUUAAGUUGGGGGUGAAAGCCCGGGGCUCAACCUCGGAAUUGCCUUCAAUACUGGCUGUCUUGAGUGUGAGAGAGGUGUGUGGAACUCCGAGUGUAGAGGUGAAAUUCGUAGAUAUUCGGAAGAACACCAGUGGCGAAGGCGACACACUGGCUCACUACUGACGCUGAGGCGUGAAAGCGUGGGAAGCAAACAGG
rnacentral:rRNA from 1 species